GGUAUGCUCUCGAAAUUGUUUCCAUCCAACCAUAAGUAUUCCAAUGACUCUAAUGACCCAACACUUUCUGGAAUUUCGAAUAUACUACACUUCCCCAUAUCAACACGCUGUAAAAGGGACAAACCUGCCAAAGGAGGGAUUGUUGUCAAAUCUUCGCAUCCUCUACAACUUAAAUAUUCCAAAUUUCUCAAUUGAUUGACGGAGGAAGGUAAUGUCUUUAUUCCAGUUCGAGCUGCACAAUUCCAACUAAGAGAUUGUAAAUCCCCUAAGUUUUCUGGCAAUCCAUUGAGAUUUAAACAAUUUGAGACAUCAAGCAGUAGAAGAGAUUUCAGACUGCAGAUGCUCUCCGGAAGACAUCGCAGUUUUGAGCUUCCAUUUAAAGGAAAUUUUUGAAGACGUUUCAACCCGUCUAUGCUGCUUGGAAGAUUCACAAGUCUUGUACAGUGACUCAAGGACAAUUUGACAAGUUGAGACUG
rnacentral:misc_RNA from 1 species